UACGGGGGGGGGCAAGCGUUUGUUCGGAAUUACUGGGCGUAAAGGGCUCGUAGGCGGCCAACUAAGUCAAACGUGAAAUCCCUCGGCUUAACCGGGGAACUGCGUCUGAUACUGGAUGGCUUGAGGUUGGGAGAGGGAUGCGGAAUUCCAGGUGUAGCGGUGAAAUGCGUAGAUAUCUGGAGGAACACCGGUGGCGAAGGCGGCAUCCUGGACCAAUUCUGACACUGAGGAGCGAAAGCCAGGGGAGCAAACGGG
rnacentral:rRNA from 1 species